AUUUUCCAGAAAAAGAACUAAUUACCGACCGUCAUGAGCAGUGAUAGGUUCUAGUUCUAGGGCACAGAAAUCCAUUGAGGCAUUGGCCCAGUGAACUCAAGGCCCAGAUUCAAAACUCACUCACUUCUUUUCAUUUCUUCACAACGAUUUCACAUUUCAUGUCACGUUAAGUUAGCUUGAAGCUUUACUUGCUAACUUUCCAGUAACGCACACAAACCGUUCGAUAAAAUCACCAAGCGAAACCAUCUCCUGGAUAACUCUAUAAUUUCUUACUAUUUCACUCCCACGCUUAAAGAAUACCAUUAUUAUGCAUAACCAAUUGAUUUUUACGACAAUUUACCAUCAUGAACAUGUAAGAUUUCCCCUUUUUUUAGGAAAACAAAAGGCCUGAAAGGCGAUUGUGUUAUUCAAAACGAUGUUUUUGAGUGACCGCAGGCCAAAUUAUUGGCUCUAGUUAGUGUGAUUGGUGUUUUUUGUUCAUUUAAUUGUCAAAAUUUAAAAAAGUUUCUCAUGUUUUUCUUGAUUAAAUGUGGUUUCGAGCUUGAAGUUCAGGUCUUGACUGUUUUACUUGGGUUUUUUUUGGUUAUUUAUUUAUUUAUUUAUAAUAGGGGUUCUUGUAUAUUAUUUGAUCAAGUAGAACAGAAAUAUGAUGUUGUGUUGUGGAGUGCUAUGGCUUCGAGUUUUGUCAAGAAUGGGAAGUAUAAGGAUGGUAUUUAUUGGUUUAGGAGAAAUGCAGAGUUAAAGUUUGGAGGCUACUGGUGCUUGAGAUGAUCUUAGUGAGUUGUGUUGAGGAAACGAGAUUCGUAGGUUGUUGAUAUAGAUUGUCUUUCUCAAAUGUACGAUAUGUUCAUUGUGUAUGCAAAAUGUGGGGAAUUGGAGGGCUGGAUUUGGGUUUUUAGGGGAGGUUGGAAGAAGGAUUUGAUUUCUUGGAAGACUGUAGAUUCUUGGUUGUGCUGAGAAUGAGUUUUGAGAAUGGAAGUUCACCAAUUAAGGGAUAAGGGUUAGAUGGAUGAGGACUUGAGGGCCUUGAGGCAUGUUGGAUUGUGGGGUAAAGCUCAAUGAUGAUGUUUCUCUCUCUUUUCAAUCUGCCCUUCGUCCAUGUGGGCUAGAAUGUAAGGGUCAUGACUUGUUUAUUUCAUUGAAGGAAAAGUAUGGUCGUACUCCAAAACUUGCACAUUAUGCUUGCAUGGUGGAUCUGCUAAUUUGGCAAGGAAAGGUCGAGGAAGCUCUUGAAUUUGAAAUAAAAUGCCAGUGGAGCCUUUAAAAGAAUCUGGGAUCUCCUCUUGCCAUUUGUAGAUCUAGAAGUUGUGGGUCAAUGUGGUGGCAGAAUUUGUGGGGAAAUGGCUUAGUGCCUUGGACCCAGAAAAUACCAUUUAUCCUGAGAUUUUGUUAGACUUGUAUGCGAAGGAGGUAGAUGGGACUAUGUGGUGAGGCUCAAAAUGUUGGCAGAUGGCAAAAGAUUAAUGUAGAGAGCAGAAUGCAGAUAAAUGAUUGUCCACACAAGCAUUUCCAAUUCAUUAAUAUCAACAGAAUUUACCUACGAAGCAUAAUAAAAGAGGGGAUUAGUAGAGGAACAAAGGAGAGAUAAAGAUUGGACUCAAAUUCAUUGCUAAUGUAAGCAAACAUUUUUAUGUGACAUCCAUCAAUUUCUUGUAAUUAUGCAUCAGUGGAUUAGAUCACUGAUCUUACAUAAAAUCACCAUCUUUGGCAGAAAGAAGUACUCCCAGAGAGGACUUUCCAUUGUAAAUCUCUGGAAAUUUUCAUGGUGGAGGUUCUGGCUUUAUCA